CUCUCCUUAGCAACUUUGUUCCGAGAGUAUAAUAAAAUACAAAUAGAACUCUGAACGCUAUGUAUUUGGUUUGUUAUAACUAAUCAGCUGAUUCCUGUUUACUUCUAUUUGCUUUUGGUUAGAUUUGUGUUUGAAUUUGAAUUUCUUUCAAUUUGCUAUUUUCGACGGUUUCUGGAUUAAUGGAGUAGUAUAAUAUUAUACAGGCAUAAGCAAAGUGGGUGCGUUCCAACCCAACAAAAAAGUGGCUGUUGAGAAAUGAGAAAUCAUUGGUUAAAUUUUGAGACAAAACAAGUAUUUUGAAACGAUUUGCAAAAGAGAACAACGUUGCGGUGGACUGGAAGGUGACUGUUUCUGCAUGCGAAUGGAAGUAAAGCAAAUAGAAAGUAUUGAGGACAAUUACGAUUUUGUGCAAAUGGUUCGGACCAUAAAAUGGAGUGGAAUGACUUUCACUUUACUUAAAAUGUGUACGUUUUUUAUGAAAUGGAUGGAAUUUUCGGCGGAAGACUGGUUGAGUCGGUAGUGUCAUCGAGAUUUUGUUAACUGAAACUAUUCAGAUGACGAAAGCGAAUGUGGAAAAAGGACGAUCCGUAAAGGAAUCUAUUUCACAACUACGCCAUCAGAUAUCCUACAAUUUUAUUCUGAAAUUAUCCAGCUGGAAAAACAGACAAUUGAGCAAGAAAUGAUUUUUAGAGAGAAUGACUUGUAAUUUUGAGAAAGAGAAUUGGUGAUUAAAGAAAAACAAAUGGAGUUAAGAGAAAAGCAACAAUUAGUACUAAAAGUAAAAAAUGGAAAUAAAACUGAAAGAACCGCAAAAUCAAGAAAAAUGAAAAAUAAUGGAAUUACAAAUGGAAGAAAGAUUGGCAGUGGAUGUUUUGAAGCACAAAUAUAGACAAGUGCAUGUUAAUAUAGUGAUUCAAGUGAACUUUAAAUUGUUUAGAGUACCUGAAGUUUCUUUUCAAUAAUUACUUUUUCUAUUAAUUUUUAAAUUAAAAAACAUUUUUAUUUUUGUGAGAAUUUAUAAAUAGCGAAUAUACAUGUUUGAAUAAUAUA